CUGAAGCCGUCAAUCGGCGUACCGGACAGAUGGAAGUGUUUACACCCAAGGUCAACAGGCAAAACAAGCUGGAAUUAGAUUUUGGAUAUGCACUCUUGUCUGGAUUUCCCGAACAAAUUCGUUUGAUGAGGAAACUGAAGAGACAUAUUUUACAAGUGAGUAUGGGCGCGAACCGUCGUCAGGAGACGUUGGUCUGCACGAGCAGUCGAGAAAUUGAGGAAAUAUAUUUGACGUUCACUUCUGUCACUUAUCUUCCCAAGAAAUUUGUCUUUAGUCCUAAACUUGAGGAAUUGGAUGUAUCUGGAUGUCCACUAGUGUCUCCAUCCAGUAAAUUGUAUAAGACGCAUCAGUUUAUAAAAGAAUAUUUGGAUGAGCAGUAAAGGGUGGGUAGAGUACGAUGUGGCAGAAUAAAGAUUCUAGUGAUGGGAAUUACAAUGGCAGGAAAAACGAGCAUCUUUGAAGUACUGUAGAGUGGUAACCCAUUUCUGGUAGAACUUGAUGAGAGAACUAUAGGUGUGGAAGAAAAAGUGAUGAAGCUGGAUGAUAGAAUAGAAUGCAAAGUGCCGGACUGUGCUGGCCAUACAGCAUACAUGCUAGCCAACCAGCUGAUAUCAGUUCACUGCACACUGUUUUCGUUCCAAUACGUGUAUAUGAAAAUUAGACUGACCAUGCACUCCUUUGUUUGCAGCUGCACUCGUCACUAUUACCUUUUCUUCAGUAGUUAUUCGCUGUGAUUCAAAAAGAUGAAGAAGGCGUUCUGUGUACGUUCUUCUACUACAAAAAGUCUCUUCUCAAUUGAUCUGAACAGUUUGCAUCAAGUAGAAACUGCAGCUGGAAGUUACAGUGGAGAGAUGUUAAAACACAUGCAAACAAUAGAACAAGUGUGUUCUAGUGUAAAGGAAGGUAUUCCUCUCUCUCAAGUUGUUUCACCCAAAAGUGGAAGUUCAGUGGAUCAAAUUGACCUCAACAGAUAGCAUCAGAUAGCAUCAGAUAUAGGAAAGUGGUGGCCUAAACUAACACUUCAACAAGUAUUAUUGGUACUGACCAGUCCACUGUGUCAGAGCUGUAUGAAAAAGAUUCUGAUUCGAGGUUUUACCCCUGCAGCAGCACCUCCAUAUAUUGCGUGAGUGGCAAGAGUCGAGAAAGAAUGAGUUUAGGGUAUGUGUGAAUUGUAUGAUGCUCUAAUCCACAACAGCAUUUGAGUGAUAUCAUGUCACCAGAUGCAGCAUCUGGGUUAGAAAAAUUUAAAGAGACAGCUGCAAGUGGUGAGAUAAGUGCAGCUGACUCUGACAUAGUCACUUCACUCAUCACAGAGAAACUAGCCAAACACAUUGGAAACAUUGGCACCUCAGUGUGUCAGUUGAAGUGCUGAGGGAAUGUGACCAACCACUGUACACAUUGAAAGAAAAAUUGCAUGUAGUUUGUCAGCUUGGACAGAUAAGAACAAACAAGCUACAGUUGAGCAGUUGCUCUGUGCUUGUGAGCUGAAGUAUGUGGCAUAGUGGAAUGGUGAUACACCACACUAAAUGAAUUCUAUUUCUGUAUAAGAGCAUGUCUGGUUUCUAAGAUGUUUGUCAUCAUAUUGUACCUUGAAUAGAAAUUUAAUUCACAACACCGAAUGAAUUCAGUUACGCAGGAGAAUGUGUAUCAUUUGUUGUUUACUUAAUUAAUAAACGUG